ACACAUGCAAGUCGGGGGGCAGCAUCCUUUUAGCUUGCUAAGGCCGAUGGCGACCGGCGCACGGGUGAGUAACACGUAUCCAACCUGCCGUCUACUCUUGGACAGCCUUCUGAAAGGAAGAUUAAUACAAGAUGGCAUCAUGAGUCCGCAUGUUCACAUGAUUAAAGGUAUUCCGGUAGACGAUGGGGAUGCGUUCCAUUAGAUAGUAGGCGGGGUAACGGCCCACCUAGUCUUCGAUGGAUAGGGGUUCUGAGAGGAAGGUCCCCCACAUUGGAACUGAGACACGGUCCAAACUCCUACGGGAGGCAGCAGUGAGGAAUAUUGGUCAAUGGGCGCAGGCCUGAACCAGCCAAGUAGCGUGAAGGAUGACUGCCCUAUGGGUUGUAAACUUCUUUUAUAAAGGAAUAAAGUCGGGUAUGGAUACCCGUUUGCAUGUACUUUAUGAAUAAGGAUCGGCUAACUCCGUGCCAGCAGCCGCGGUAAUACGGAGGAUCCGAGCGUUAUCCGGAUUUAUUGGGUUUAAAGGGAGCGUAGAUGGAUGUUUAAGUCAGUUGUGAAAGUUUGCGGCUCAACCGUAAAAUUGCAGUUGAUACUGGAUAUCUUGAGUGCAGUUGAGGCAGGCGGAAUUCGUGGUGUAGCGGUGAAAUGCUUAGAUAUCACGAAGAACUCCGAUUGCGAAGGCAGCCUGCUAAGCUGCAACUGACAUUGAGGCUCGAAAGUGUGGGUAUCAAACAGGAUUAGAUACCCUGGUAGUCCACACGGUAAACGAUGAAUACUCGCUGUUUGCGAUAUACUGCAAGCGGCCAAGCGAAAGCGUUAAGUAUUCCACCUGGGGAGUACGCCGGCAACGGUGAAACUCAAAGGAAUUGACGGGGGCCCGCACAAGCGGAGGAACAUGUGGUUUAAUUCGAUGAUACGCGAGGAACCUUACCCGGGCUUAAAUUGCAGAUGAAUUACGGUGAAAGCCGUAAGCCGCAAGGCAUCUGUGAAGGUGCUGCAUGGUUGUCGUCAGCUCGUGCCGUGAGGUGUCGGCUUAAGUGCCAUAACGAGCGCAACCCUUGUUGUCAGUUACUAACAGGUUCCGCUGAGGACUCUGACAAGACUGCCAUCGUAAGAUGUGAGGAAGGUGGGGAUGACGUCAAAUCAGCACGGCCCUUACGUCCGGGGCUACACACGUGUUACAAUGGGGGGUACAGAGGGCCGCUACCACGCGAGUGGAUGCCAAUCCCCAAAACCUCUCUCAGUUCGGACUGGAGUCUGCAACCCGACUCCACGAAGCUGGAUUCGCUAGUAAUCGCGCAUCAGCCACGGCGCGGUGAAUACGUUCCCGGGCCUUAUACACACCGCCCGUCAAGCCAUGGGAGCCGGGGGUACCUGAAGUGCGUAACCGCGAGGAGCGCCCUAGGGUAAAACUGGUGACUGGGGCUAAG
rnacentral:rRNA from 1 species